rnacentral:tRNA from 1 species
UCCUCAUAGCUCAGUCGGUAAAGAAUCUGCCUGCAAUGCAGGAGACCCGGGUUCGAUUCCUGGGUUGGGAA